ACCUCUCUGGUGUAUCGGUUAACAUAGCGGAUUCUCAUACAGAGCACUUCCGUUGCGCGGGGUUCGACUCCCCGGAGGGGUA